AACUGAUACUACCUGCGGGAACCUGCGGAGGGAUCAUUAAUGUUACCUCAUCCAACUUGCUUGCUGGCGCCUUUCUUUGGGCCGUCAACAAGCAAAGCACCCGUGAAAAAGUUAAAGUCCUUAACAGCAUCCAGCGCCGCUGGACCUGCUGUUAAAGCGCCAUUUUUUAAAAACAAUCACGUCUAAUCAAUGAGCGCCAAGACUUCAUUGCGAGUCUUGGCGCGAUCAAUUCCGUAAUUA
rnacentral:misc_RNA from 1 species